GGAUGGGUUCUUCUUCCUUGAGGUUUGAGCUCUGUAAAUGGUCUAGGUGAGAAAGUGGAACAAAGUUGGCCACCAUAAAUAUUUCCAGAGUUCAAAGUGAACACGAGGAAGCAACUUUCAAUGAAGUAUGUUCUUUUCAUGAAGCAAAAUUAUGUGAAUAGCAGUCAUUUUCCCAGAAGAAAAAGUGACUGAGAGCCAUUAAAUGCAAAAACACCACCUGAAGCUCAAGGAGUUCCUUAGCUGCAGAUUGAUGCAAGCUGAAUGAUUUUCCUGCCAGCUCACUCAUCAUCUCCCUAGAAAAACAUCUGCAACCUGCUGAGAGCCCAAGGCCGUAGGAUCUGAAACCCUUUUCACAGUGUCUGAUUGGUUGAGGGGCUGGAGAGGAUGCCUGUGCAGCUGAGGUUCUCUACCUUGUGAGCAGAGAGUGUUCAGUCAAUGUGUUUGAGGUACUGAGAACAUGGUGCAGAGGAAACGCAGCGAGUGACCCCAUUCCUGUGUUGAUGAAAGCUUAGUUGUCAUCUCCAUGGUUAAGGAAGGAUCCAGCUGAGCUCCAGCUUCAGCAGAUUAAAACGCAGUUAAGACUGGAAGAGGAGAGCGAGGUAGUAGACCUUUCAGUUCAGUGAAAGCAAGACAUCUCUUUUUCUAACAACUGCCAGCCUUCAGCAGUCAUCUCUUCCUCGACCCUGUAUUUUGAACACACCGGUGAGUCUGCGUACGUGAUCUAGUUUCGUAGCUGAGCCUGCACAACAUCUCUUAGGAAAAGUUCAAAAACUCCUGUAGCUUGCAUUUUGUCCAGCUAUUUUUCUUUGUAUGUGUUAUAGAAUAACUAUAGAACAUAGUUAUACAAUAUAUGGAAUAAUAGAGAUGUCAGUGCACUGGCUGAUAUCAGGAGAGGGCUUUUGAAGUAGCCUGCUAAUGUUCCUGGUUUGGCGUGGUUUUGCUGCAUGUUUUUGAAAGCACCUGCCAUUUUCUUUCAGUCUAAACAUGAAUGAUGCUCUCUGAGCACACACCGGCCACUGUCCAAGAGCUAGGGCGUGUGCAGACUCGACUUACUGAAACCUGUGGGCCCCAAGAUAUUUGGUAUGGGGAGCCAAGUUGCUAACGUAUUUAACAUUUAGAGACCAUUGCUUUGAAAAGUGAAUAUGUGUAAGCAGCCUUUGCAACUGAUAUUUUUCUACUCAGUGCCAGCCUAGGCCAAGUCUCAAGGUAGAGGCAUCUUUGGCACUGUCUACAAAAUGUUAAGUAGCCCUAAGCAGCUGGAAAUAAUAAGCAGAUCAGCACAUCACCAUCAGAAAGCCUAGAAAAGAAAGAGAGAGAGAGAGGUGCAGGCUUGACACAAUCAGUUAUUCGAUGAAGCAUGGCUGAAUAAGGAAGACCUUAUUCUGUUUCUCCUGAAAGAAUACGCUCUUCCAAGCACCCUGAAUCAGCGUGCACGUUAUUAUGUUUCUUCUAUGUGCAUGCAAUCAGUUUUGAGGACAUCUGUUAGUGUUGUAAUUUUCACAGCAAUUUCAACUGAAAGAAUUCAGCUGCUAUCGAUAGACUUAAUGAAAAUAUUUGAAAUAAAAUCACAGGAGAUGCAACAACUGAGCUAAUAAAGGAAUUAGUAUCAAGUAGCCAUUUGUGAAUUUGGCAAGCUCCUGUAGGUAACCCUAAUUAAGCCCUUGUGUGUACCUCUAUGAAUAAAUCGCUAAGCAAGUGAAUGAAAGCAGACAUUCUAGCAUCAUCUGGCCUUUGCAUUGUUAAUGAUCUUGGCUUGGCAUUUUUGACUGCAGAGACACUGCCCCCAAAACUUCUAAUUUUCCUGGGGGAAGUGACCCAGUCAGAUGUAUUACAACCUAGCAGUCAUUGGCUGCAGGACAAGCUCUUAUGCUCUGCUGUUUGCGUGGAUCUAUCAAUAUGAACAGAAUUAUGUUGUCUGAUGGUACAUUAAACAAACUAGCAGCCUCUAAGCAUCGAGAACGACCCAAUAGCAAAGCAUCAGUGUUUUUUUUUGUUUGUUUUGUUUUGUUUUUUUCUCCUCCUGGACACAUACUUGUCUCAUGGUGAUGUAAUCUGCUCCAUAACGUCCUGGUUGACUGAGAGGGAAGAAGCCCACAGAUGCUAGAUGGUGUCAUCUCAUGCCACUUAAAAGGGCGCAUUCUACAACUGACUAGGUAGUUUGUGGCAAAGUUGAAAUAUUUAACUUUUAAAGUUAACAUUUGGUUUAAAUAUGUAAAGGCAACCUCCUCUUUAGCGUGAGACAUAAUGAAUACUUUUCAAGUAGUUGUUAUGAUUUUCACUUGAAUGUAACUGCAUGCUACCUUUCCUAAUUAAUUUGCAGUCCCAAUAUAUUACUGAGAUGCAUGAAUAUUUAUGAAGCAUCGAUAUACGGAACAGUAACUUUAUUUUGGUACGCAUUCAGAACAUGUUACUGCAUAUGUGAAAUAACUUGUCGCGUUCCUUGAUGAGAGCUUUGCAACAGGAAAAAUGUGAAAAGGAAUAGAAGAGUGAUGUGGUGGGAAUUAAUUGUCUUAUUUACACUGUGUGUGUGUAUGUGUUUGUGGACUUUAAGGGAUUAAUUAGCAGAACUGUUGAAAGCAGAUACUGCAGGCACUGCAAUAUUGCAAACAAGGCUACAAUAGCAAGACUUCAAGAGAACUCCGAGGCACGUUGAGUUAGCACAGUAAUAUUGUUAUUUAGAGCCAGUGUCACAACACCCAAUAUCAACGGAUCCCAGAGUUGGAACACAGAGCAGCCCUACAAGGCCUCUGGACGGAUGGGAAACAGGUGAAAGCAGCAGGAUAGUGAAGAGACUUAGUCUCAUUCAGCAUGAUCCAUUUGUACAGAGGCUGCUUAGGUGAGUACCUUGUUCAUACUCAUUUUAAGUGUCCAUACUCAUCCUUCAGGGCUGCAGUCAAAAGUUCUUCUCUGAUCCUUCCUCAGCUAGAGGUCCAGAACAUACAAGGUGCUUGCAAUGUGACCUGAAGACCUAAGUGUGAAUGUCAUGGCAGUAACUAAAGUCGUAGCCAAAGGGCAAGAUGAAUUUUUUUUCCUCUGUGUGCUCAGGAGGUGCAACCAGACACUCAGGA